rnacentral:lncRNA from 1 species
CCUCGCCGCUAAACCCCUACCACAAAUCUAGGAGAGCUGGAUAAUGAUGUCGCUGCUUCCUUGUAUAUGUCCAGGUAAAGUUCAUCAUCUUCCAUAUAUAUCUACAUCGAUUUGAUCUGUGUGAAUUGUUGAUUGGAAAGUUUCAAACGCUGCGUGCACUUUCCUUUUUAUUCUACAAAAUUUGCCACCCAGCUUGAAUUAUUUUGAUUAUUUUGCAAGUUAAGCACAAAAUAUAAUAAAUCAAAUAGCUUUGCAAAAAGUUAGACAUAAAAGAUAAUAAUUAUAAGUUAAUAUCUACUAGUUACACGUAGAAAGUUAGAUAUAAAAGUUGCAUACAUAAAGUUAGACAUAAAAGUUACGUGCAGAAAGUUAAUAAUUACAAAUUAUAUGGUUAAAAUUUACAUCUAGCAUUUUAAAAUAAAUGAUUUACUUUUUUAUGACAUCAGUGGUGGUUAUGGAAAAAGCACACUAGAAGGGGAGAUAGUUUAAACCUUUGUUACAUCAAAUCUAAGUGAACGAUCGUCCAAAUAAAAUAAGAGUUGAUAGCAUAUAUAAAAAGAAAAAAAAUGAUAGACUUAUAUAAAGAAUAAAAAGAGAAAAAAAAAGACAAAAGAAAAAUCUUUUAUAACUUUUGUGUUUCAAAUUUUAGCAUAAGUUGUAAGUUAUAUGGUAUAAGUCAUAUGGUAAUAAGUUUUGCAAAGUGUUAUGCCAAGUUGCUAGUAUAAUUUAUAGAAAUAAGUUAUGUUCUAUAACAUAUAUAUGUAUAACUUAGUUACCUUCUAAAAAUGGAAAGUUGCGGAAAUUAUCAUUUCCAAAUAAGGAAAGUUGCGGUAGUAGCUGAUGGUUCGCUGGAUUUGUUACCGG